UACAUAGGUGGCGAGCGUUGUCCGGAUUUAUUGGGCGUAAAGCGCGCGCAGGCGGUUGUCUAAGUCUGCUGUGAAAUCUCCCGGCUCAACUGGGAGGGGGCGGCGGAGACUGGGCGACUGGAGGGACCUAGAGGCCGGUGGAAUUCCCGGUGUAGUGGUGAAAUGCGUAGAGAUCGGGAGGAACACCUGUGGCGAAGGCGGCCGGCUGGGGGUACCCUGACGCUGAGGCGCGACAGCGUGGGGAGCGAACCGG
rnacentral:rRNA from 1 species